GCCAGGCCUACACAUAAAACAGGCCUGUGCUGCCCCCUACAGGAGAGUGUCUGAAUCUACAGCACACACAGCUCCAGUAGAGCUCCAGACAGCAGCGUUUCAGUCACACAUACAGACUGUUCUGCCAUGUUUAAUCAGCCGUAUCUCUCUUCUUUCUGCAGGACGACCCUCAUAAAUCACAGAUCACAGUGAAGGCCGAGUUCGUCCUUCCUCCCAAUCGAAUGCUCAUCAUCAGUGUUGGUGCAGGGGGCGGGCUCAUCUUGCUCAUUAUCAUAUUCUUCCUGCUGGUGAAGUGUAGAUUUUUUUAUUCAUAAACAGCAUCAAGUGUAUGAACGCUCAGCAGUGGUUCUCAUGAGUUACAGGCGUACAGGACACAGCUGAGUGCAGGCGCUGUUAUUAUUGGCUCUGCAGCGGCUGAUUCCUUCAUCUGUAAUGAUCCUAUACUGUUUUUGCUGGGUUUUACAGCGUGAUGAUGCUGUUUUGGGGUUGAUUGUGGUCAGUUUGUUAUAGUGCUGUGCAGCUGCUGUUGUGUUCGCUGAUCAACAUGUUUCUGGUGAUGAACUUAUAGAGCUCAGUUUGACAAUG
rnacentral:lncRNA from 1 species